AUAUUGUUAAAGUGUCCCUACUACCCAAUCCCAUAAAAUGUCCAUGGUUUCAGUGCAAUUCCUAUCAAAAUUCCAAUGGUACUUUUCACAGAAAUAGAAUAAUCCUAAAGUUUAUAUGGAACCAAAAAAGACCCUGAAUAUCAAAAGCAAUCUUGGAAAAGAACAAAGCUGGAGGUAUCAUACUUGCUGAUUUUAAACUAUAUCACAAAGCCGUAGUAAUCAAAACUAUAAUACUGGUAUAAAAAUGGACACAUAGGCUAAAGAACAAACUAGGAAGCCCAGAAAUAAACCCACUCAUAUGUGACAAAUAUUUGACAAGGAACCAAGACUACUCAAUGGGGAAAGGAUAGUCUCUUGAAUAAAUGUGGUUGGAAAAACUGGUAUGCAGAAAAUCAAGAUGGACAUAGCUAAAUCUCAAAACACCAACAAUCACCAACAUAGAAUAGAUAUCUUUAGAUUACUCCCUCUAACAUCAGAAUACACAUUCUUUCAAAUUCACAUGGGAUAGUCACCAAGGCAGAAAAAUUCUGGGCCUUAAAACACACCUUAACAAAUUUAAAAUAGUAGUAAUCAUGAGAUUAAAAACUAGAAAGAUAGCUGAAAGAUCCCAAAGUACUUGAAAGUAAACAACAAAUUUCUAAAUAACACAAGAGUCCAGAAAUUUAAGAGAAAUUUUAAAAAUAUUUUGAAUAAACAUAGUUUAUCAAAAUUUGUGUGAUGUAGCAAAAGCAGUGCUUAGAGGGAAAUUUAUAGCAGUGAGAUAUAUUUAUUAGAAAAUCAGUAAUCUAAAUUUAGGAAACUUGAAAAUGAAGAGCAAAUUAAAUCUCUACUAAAAGGAAGAAAAGGAAUAAAUAAAAAUUAGAAAUCAAUGAAAUUGAAAACAAGAAAUAGAGAAAAUCAAUGAAGCCAAAAGUUUCUUCUUGAGAAAGAUUGAUAUGAGUUGCUGUAGUGGCUCAGCAGUUAACGAACCUGACUAGCAUCCAUGAGGACACGGAUUUGAUCCCUGGCCUUGCUUGGUGGGUUAAGGACCACAGCUCACAGCAAGGCUGAAUCCUAACCCACUGAGCGAGGCCAGGGAUUGAACCUGCAUCCUCAUGGAUACCAGUCGGGUUCAUUAACUGCUGAACCACGAUGGGAACUCUGAUAAUCUAUUUUAAAUGGACCAUUGUUUUGAAAGACACAACCUUCCAGAAGUUAAACAAGUAGAAAUAGAUACUCUGUAAUGGUCUAGAUCUAUUAAAAUGAUAUCUUUCACAAAGAGAAAGCACCAGGCCUAGAUGGGGCUCUGGUGAAGUCUACCAAACACCUAAGGGGGAAAUACUAAUUCUCUGUAAUCACUUUUCAGAAGGUAGAGGCAGAGGAAAUUCUUCUUAACUCAUUCUGUGAGGCCAGAAUUACUCUAAUACCCAAAUUAGGUAAAUCCAUUAUAAGAAAACUACAGACCAGUGUCUGUCAUGAACAUAGAUAAAAAAAUGCUCACAAAAUAUUAGCAACUUGGAUCUAAUGAUGUAUAAAAACAAUUAUACACCACAGCCAAGUUGAAUUUAUUCUGGGUAUGCAGGCCUGGAUCAACAUUUGAAAAUCAACUAAUAUAAUCCAAUGUAUCUAAUAGGCUAAAGAAGAAAAAUCCUAUGGUCAUAUCAAUAGAUGUCAAAAAAGCACUUGACAAAAUCCAAAACAUUUUUGUCUUCAGUGAACUAGGAAUAGAAGGGAACUUCUUCAACUUGAUAAAGGAUUUCUACCAAAAAAAAAAAAAAAAAAAA
rnacentral:lncRNA from 1 species